UUCGGUGAGGAUAGCGCAGGGGAUCCACCCGUUCCCAUUCCGAACACGGAAGUUAAGCCCUGCGACGCCGAUGAUACUGCCCGGGCGACUGGGUGGGAAAGUAGGUAUUGCCGAGG
rnacentral:rRNA from 1 species